AGUGACAAUUACCUUUUUUUAAUUACGUGGCAGAAACAGACACCUAGUAAAUGAUAAAGAAUGUUAAUUUUUGGGUGUAAUGUCCCUUUAAGAUGAGCAUGUUGCUUUGACUGAGACUCACUGAAGGAUCUGACAUUUUCUCCAGAUUUGAUGCUGUUUCUCUCUCAGUGCGGGAGGUCCAUGGCCUGUGUCUCCGACGACUGAGCUUCUCCAGCAUCUGUGACGUGUUAGCACUGAGUAACUCAGAAAUGACAUUAUCAUGUUCAGCUGUUAACGAAAGCAUCCCUUCUCAUCAUAUCUCCACAUAUCUGUGUGAAAGCAGCACAUCUGAAAUCUAAUAUUCAGAUUGAAGAGCGACUGGAGGUCACACCACACACUCACUUCUGCUUCAUCAGUUGCUCUUAAACAGCUACUGUAUGAGUGAACCAGCGGCAGGGUCACCAACACAGGGAGAACACCAGCGGCGUUCAUGCCAGAGGAGCGUUAUGUCCGCUGUGAACCAGCUUUGACAAAUGCUGUCAAUUAUCGUCUGCACAUGUCCAAACAUUCAGCAGGCCGUGAGCCAUGCACUCGUCUGCUAAUCAUUAAAAUAUGACUGGCAUUUUUAUAUGAGAGCGGCUGGAAUCUGCGGUUCAUCUUGGCCUGAAUAUGACGGAGCGCAUCGAAUGGGAAAACAGAGCUGCUCUUGAUGUUGCGUCAUCUUUGUUCUGAGAUGUCAAGCGUUUCACUAAAACAUUCACAGGGAAGUAUUAGUUCAUAAACCAACAUGCACUGCCUGGAAAUAAUCUGACCUGCUAAUUAAAACAUCUGAAGCCAACAUUUCCAGCCCUGCAUUCUUCUGAUUAAAUAGUUCACAGUUGAUGUGAAACACGCACCUGUGAUUAGAAUUACGAGAUGAACUCUUGUACUCAAACUCAGAAAUUAUUAUAAAAUGGCAAAACUAAUUAUGUCCAAAUGGAUCCAAGCACUUCAAACAGUUCCAGAUUCUCAGAUCUUGAUGCAAAAUUUAUAAUAUACUACAUUAAUUUAUCGCUAUAUUAUAUUGCAAAGUGAAUAAGAACAACAAUUGUCCACACCAAACACUGGCUAAGAUAAAAAAAUAUAUAUAUCUAAAUUAUUUAUUAAUAUAAUUACAAAUCUAAAUCUAAUCUCUCUCUCUCUCACACACACACACACACACACACACACACAUAGACACACACACACACACACACACACACACACACACACACACACACACACAUAUAUAUAUAACACUAUAUUAUAUUAUAAUAUGAAUUAUAUCAUAUAUUUAUACAAUAUACAAUACAUAUUUUUUAUUAUAUAAAUAUAUGAUUUAAUUGAUAUAUAUAU
ensembl:lncRNA